AUAAAGUAGAUUUGUUGUGGAGAUCUCGAAAGGCGCAAAGCACAGUGAGGUGCAAAGAUUAUGUAUCUCCUUAUCACGACAACCGUGACAGCGAAGAUCGAAACGCCUCCGCACGGCAAGUGGCGAUCUCCGCAACCCUCCCAACGACCAAAGUUGGUCACCAGCAGAACUCUUCGGCUCCACUAAAACCCACCCCCUCAUCUCCCUAAAACCCUCUCCACCCCCCACUUCGCAAUCCCUUUAGAUCUCUUCUUCUUCCCUUCAGAUCCGCUUGUUGUCGUUCGAUGGAUGAACAGCAGGAGGAAGAGAUCUUCUUGGUGGUAGAAAGAGAGGCGGAGAUGGUCUCCUCGUCCGAUCCCCUGAUUCCGAUCAAGAGAGUCGCUUGGUUUCUUGAUGCCAAUCCCGUCCCCGUCGAAGAGCUCCCCCGGUAUCCCUUCGCUCCGAUGAUGCAUGUAAAUGCCUCCCCCGUUCAUCCCCGGGAGUCCAAGGUGCUGUUCAGAGGAUGGGGCAGCCCUUUGCGCAAGUGGGGGGAGUGGGUCGAUAAGCUUCGGCCCAUCUAUGGGGAUCUUUGGAACAAGUCCGGCAUCUUGGAUGCCAUUGGCGUGUCUACUUACAAGAUCAAGAAAGACUACGCGUCCGUUUUGGGGCUGGCUGGGGUUUGGUGCGGAGAGACCAACACGUUUCUCUUCCCUUGGGGGGAGGCCACUGUUACAUUAGAAGACACGAUGGUUCUAGGUGGAUUUCCGGUGCUCGGUGAGCCUGUCAGGGGUUCUUUGACCGGGGAGCUUGUGGAGAUCGAACAGAAGAUGGUGAAGGAGCAUCGGACGUUUAACCGAAGCACCAGCAAGAAAGCAGAUCAAAGUGCGUGGAUGAAACAUUACAUGGAGCGUGAGGGCGAUGAAUUGGAGCACAUUGCAUUCUUGGCUUUGUGGUUGUCGCGGUUCGUUUUUCCUGGCCCCCCUGUUAAGACCGUGAAGCAGCACUUGCUUCCUAUUGCUGUUCGUUUGGGACGAGGAAUGAGGAUUGCCCUUGCAUCUGCGGUCCUGGCUAGCUUGUACCGUGACAUGUCGGCCAUCAAGGAUUACCUUGUUGCUGAUGAUAGUAAAAAAACUGAACCUUUGGUUGUAUGGGCACCUUUCAAUUUGCUACAGCUUUGGGUGUGGGAGCAUUUCUUGACUUUGAGGCCAGAGAAGCAAAAUUUGAUUGCUAAUGGUGAGCCAAGAGCGGCACGGUGGCAUGAUGUGGGUAGAAAAUUGGACCUCUCCUUUGUUGGUUCGGCUUUGGAGUCAUCUGAAUUUCAGUGGCACCCGUAUAUGGCUAGGUUGGAGAAUUGGAGCAGGCCCUCUUUCUAUAAGGAUAUUGGUGUGUGGAUUUGUGGUGAUGCAUCCAAGGAUGAAGAGUUGCGAUCAUUUGCACAGUGCUUGAGGGCUGCUGAGCUUGUAGGAGUAGACUGUAUCGAACAGUAUUUGCCUCACCGUGUGGCAAUGCAGUUUGGAUUUGAUCAGGACUUGCCCUGCCAUGUUCCUCGUUCGAAUGCAAUGUGGGAAGCUGCAUGGGAGACUUAUGAUAUUACUUCGAAAAAUAUUGCAUUUUACGUCCCGGCACCACCUUUUAAGUCUGAUAUCACACAGCAGUACUCGAUUUGGUGGAAACAAUGCAUGCCUUAUUAUAGUAAGUUAGUGGAAAAUGAUACACAAACACAAGGUUCCUUGGAAAAUAUCAAGUGGCAGAGCAAGGUAGUGGCAGAAAAAAACAUGAAGAGAAUCCAAACUUUGACAAGCAUAAAGAAGAGAAAAUUGCAAGAGUUCUAUGAUGCCAUGAUUUCUGAUCAUCUUCUUUCUGGAAACAAUUCUGUUUCUGGUGAUGAUGACAGUGUAGAAUCACAGAACUUUCAACUGAGUGCUGCUGAGACAGAAAAGCAGCAUAUUUGUUCCAUGAAGCAAAAGGAACAUAUGGGCCUGAAACCUUCUAACAAUUGUGUAGGGAAAGAAACACACGAUCCGGUGGCUUCUCAAUCUAUCAAAUCAGAAAUAUGUGAAGCUACUAUAAGUACUUCAUUGGAGAAUGAGUACAAGGUAAUGAUGGAAGAUUUUGAUCAAAGAAAUGGUUGGGGAUCUGCUUAUGACUAUGUAGUCCUUAGGCAACCUGGAAUGAAUAUUACUUCACAAGAGGCAAAACUGAAAUUGGAACAAGCAUUGGAGAAACGCAUUAUGAUGAAAGCAGAGGAAUCAGAACUUGAAAUGCAGAUUAAAGUUCUAAAGGAAGAAAUUACUGCGAUUGAGGCCAGAGUAAUGGACUUAGAAUCUGUUGCUGAGGCGUAAGCAUGUUUUGAUGGCUGAUGUGAUGAUAGUGUGAGAUGAUCGGAACUCGGAAAAGUCAGGCUAAGACGAUCCCGAGGUGCUGGUUGGACUCCCGAGGUGAGUUCAGAGUCGAGCUGAGGUGGUCCUGGCCUCUUUGGGAUUCUGGAGAUGAGUCGAGAUGUGCUUUAGCUUCGUCGGGGAUCCUGCACAAGUGGUCAGCAUCAAGGGAGAGUUUCGGACCGACUCCUCUAAUUGUAAAGUUAGUAUGAGUGGGAGUGUGAAUAGUAGAAGUUUUGAGUUUGGUCUCCUCUUUAGAUCUUGGGGAUCAGCUUUUAUACUUGGGCAAUCGGUGAAAGGUAAUCAAUGGCUGACAGGGAUGGGCUCGUACACUCUCAUGGGGCUCAUUCAUGCAGACAGUCAAAUUGUAUGGGCUCGUACACUCUCAUGGGGCUCAUUCAUGCAGACAGUCAAAUUGUAUGAUUCACUGUGAUGUGUCGUCAGCGAAGGAGAAUUACAGAGGUGUCGCUUGACAGCGUUGACGGUCGACUGUGCCAGUCGGUCGAGGAAGGGGCAGAAGAUUGCUACCCUGCCUUUUGCCUCUGUGAAAGAGGAUAAAGAUGUUUCUCUGCCCACGUCAGCGUUCAAGCGGUAGUGAGUUGGCAGGCCAAGCGGCAAGUCGACGCUAAUACUAGCAUGUUCUCUAUCAAGCUUCAUACCCUUCGAUAUUUGUUUUCAGUUGAUCUAGGCUGCUGCAGGUUAUCAGUAAUGCUUCUCGUUGCCCAUUUUCCCUUCUGCCUUGGAAGAAAAGGUUUGGUUAUGGUUACGUCCAAGUUGUUUAAAUGUCAAUGACGUAAUUCACCGUAAUUUUGACUGGGCUAGGAAAAAUCUGAACUCGAGUCCGGUUAGACCGGUCAAGAUUGAAGACGUGCGGGUUCGGACGCGUUCAGUCCCAAACCGAGUCUGUCGUUUCACUUGACAACGAAGUGUUGUUCCCAUUCCCCCUACUACGCUGCUCCAACCACCCUCGAUCUCGGAACCCAAAUGGCGUCGGCUUCGUUGCUCAAGGGGCGCAUCUACCUCUUCGGCCUGCUUCCCUCCCCGUUCACCAAACAACGACGGCCGCCCUCCUGCUACUCCACCGCGGCCAUUUCCUCUUCUUCUCCUGACCCCUUCGCUGUGAACUUCCUCAUCGACCACUGCAACCUCCCCCUGUCCGUCGCUGUCGCUGCCGCUCGUUCCCUGCUCAUCACCGAGCCUUCCACCGAGUUGCACCUGACCGUCCUCCCUCUCUUCUGAUCCUACGGCCUCUCCUCCUCUCAAAUUGGCCGCGUCGUCGCCUAUUACCCCGCUAUUCUACUCUCCCGGCCAAAUCGCACCCUCGUUCCCAAGCUCCGCUUCCUCUCCUCCUUCCUCCCGCCCACUCACCUCCCUGAUCUCGUCGCCAGCAGCCCUAGCCUCCUCUUCCGCAACCUUACGCGCCAGAUCGAGCCCCUCUUUCCUUCAUACGCUGCUUCCUCGACUCACCCGACGCCCUUCUCCUAGCCGCCCCCGGUCUCGUCACCUGCAGACUCGCUGAUACCGCCACCCCCAAUAUCAGCUUCCUCCUUUCCCGUGGCGUCCCCUCCGGCAGCAUCGCCAAGCUCCUCUGCGCCCAUCCGCGUUCCAUUGCCCUGCCGGCUGCUCGCUUUGCCGAAACUGUCUGCAUGGUUGAAGCUCUAGGCCUUCGCCCUGAUACGUCCAUGUUUGUCUACGCCAUCAGUGUCAUGAAUGGUAUGUGGCGGUCGACAUGGGAGGUCAAGCUAAAGGUCUUUCGGAGGCUCGGGUGGUCAGAAGAUGAGUUCCGGAUUGCCUUCCAGAGGGGCCCCGCUGUUUGUGCUGGUGUCGGAACCAAAGAUGCGGAAGAUGGUGCAAUUCUUGAUGGAGGAGGUCAAGUUGAAGGGGUCCAACUUGAGCCGAGAGCCAAGGUUGCUGAUGUACAGCCUGGAGAAUAGGCUCUUGCCAAGGUUCAGUGUGUUCCGCAUGAUGGAAGCCAAAGGACUGGUCACGGAUGGUAGUGAGAGAAAGAGGACUAGCUUGGUGAUUGGGAUGUUCACAUGCAGUGUCCGAACGUUCUUGGAGAAGUAUGUGCGAAGGUACCGUGAGGUGGCUCCUGAGUUAAUGGAUGUAUACAAUGGUAGGGUGCAUUAGAAAAAUGCCAAAGGGCAGCAUGGAGGCAUUUUAAGAUGUUUCAUCUGAAAUUUACAUAUCUUGAUGUGCGGUUAUCACGCACCAGAAAGAACAGUCAGAAGAAUUGGGGAAUGGUAUUCUUCCUUGUGAUCACGAGGAUAAGUUGCAUAGGAGACAUGACUGUACUUGGGGUAUUUGGCAAGGAAGAAAAAUUAUUCGAGUGAACGAUCAGCUUAUCGCAAGAGGAAGUCUUUUGUCGCUGACAUUAUGGAUACUUGAUGUUAGCUACACAUCAGCUUUCUGGCAAUGCUACUGGUGGCAGGAUCUUUUGUGUUUUACUCUCUGAUGAUGGAUCCGCCCAAACAUGCAUCAGUAUCUUGGUGAAGUGUAUGACCCUAACAAUGGUACAACUACAACCAAUUGUGUUUCUUCCAUGAAACUUGAGUUUGUCUCAUUGUUCAUGUGGGUUUCUGCAUCGUAUCAGAGUGCGGAUAAAAUUUAGCAUCUGACCUUUCACAAUAUCUUUCAGUUUUAGGGAUGUGAUUGGAAUUGUCCUCUGCAAGUUCUGCUUCCUUCUUGGUAUUAUAUCAAAAUGUGGCAGGUCCAGAACACAAAACACUUUUCUUUGGAUGUUCAACUAUAUAUUGCAUCUUUGAGUUUUGAUUGAGAUCUUGGAUAUGGAUGAUUUGCAUAAAGAAGCAAUAUAUACUUGAGUUGUAU